rnacentral:sRNA from 1 species
GCCGGGUGUAGCAGCACAUGCCUGUAAUCCCAGCAGCUCAGGAGGCUGAGGCAGGAGGAUCACAAGUUCAGACUCAGAAAUGGCAAGGCGCUAAGCAACUCAGUGAGACCCUGUCUCUA